rnacentral:misc_RNA from 1 species
UCCAGUUUAACACUGGCAGUCUCCUUAGAGUGCCCAACUUAAUGAUGGCAACAAAGGACGUGGGUUGCGCUCGUUGCGGGACUUAACCCAACAUCUCACGACACGAGCUGACGACAGCCAUGCAGCACCUGUACACCAGUCCCCUUGCGGGGAAAGCCCUGUUUCCAGGAACGGUCCAGUGUAUGUCAAGACCAGGAUAAGGUUCUUCGCGUUGCGUCGAAUUAAACCACAUACUCCACUGCUUGUGCGGGUCCCCGUCAAUUUCUUUGAGUUUUAAUCUUGCGACCGUACUCCCCAGGCGGGAUGCUUAACGCGUUAGCUCCGUCACUGAAAGGGUUUACUCUUCCAACGACAAGCAUCCAUCGUUUACGGCGUGGACUAC